ensembl:lncRNA
AGUACAUGUUUCAGUUUUCUGUUUUUGCGUCUAAAUUUACUUGGGCAUGUUUUCCCCAUAAGCCCGACAUCAUCUGUGUGAGGACUCUUUUCUUGCCCUCUAUCUGCAGCAUUACACUGAAUUAUUCUUGACCCUCCCUUCCUUCCUCUCCUGAUAUACCAACGGAGAACGCCCAGGGUGGCUUUCACAGCUCAGAGCAAAGGAACUGCCUGAUCAUCAGCUUCAGACACACUUGGAGCCUGACAUGCGCAUACACCCACAUGUCCCAUAAAAACCUGGAGCCCCCGGCAGUCACCCACACUUCUGAGCUCCAGCAUCCAGCAGCAGCUGCUCAUCUCAUCUGAUAGCGGCGUGCCGAGUGAGGGGAAGAUGUGGGCUUGUGGAGGGCCAAUCACGCUUGUGCUGUUCCGCCUCUUUGGCUCAGCUUCCCUGUUUCCCUAUACACCCGCUCCUUCUGUUCCAUCAGAAAUUUCUCCUCCUCCACCAUUGUUAACAAACUUCCCAUCUUUGCUCUCUUCGUCUCUCAGCAUCCCAUCCUCUAACCCCCACCUCACCUCCAGCUCUGGGGAACCCUCAAAGAGAGCCGGCUGUGACCUCAGCAUCUCACCUUCCUCCUUAGUGGUCAGGUUUGGAGAUCCGGUCAAAGCUAACUGCUCCAAGCAGAAGGCAGGGUUUCCUAUCCUGGGUUGGGCAGUCCCAGUGGUAGGUGAAUGUUUUGAUCACUGCUUUAUACAUAAUUUAUAUAUUUUUUUGCUUUUUAAAAGGAAAGAUGAUCUUUUUUAUAUGCAUGUGCAAAUUGUAACAGAAAGUUGUUU